UUUUUUCUUUUUCUUUUUUCUUUUUUCUUUUUUCUAUGUGUAUUUAUAAUGGAAUGUGUAUUUAUAAUGGAGUGUGUAUUUAUAAUGGAAUGUGUAUUAUGUAUUAAUUUGAUGGGUUAUAUUCACCAUCUCAAGUGAGAGGCGACCACACCUACAAAUCCACCAUACUUCCUCCAACCAAACAAAAAAUUGGAUCACCAAAUCCACCUUUGUCCCUACAACCAAACAAAAAAUUGAAUCGCCAUAUUCAGACAACCAAACAAAAAAAUGGACCGCCAUAUCCAGCAAAAUAUGGACCACCGUAUCCCAUCCAAUCUUGACCAGGAACCAAACACACCCUUAGUGUUCUAUACAAGCAUGUUGACUGUUUGAUAAAAAAAAUCACAAUACUGACUGGUUUUUGAAAGAAGUUAGUGUUCUAGACAAGUACAUCAGGGCUUCUGUCCUAGAUCCCCAUCCAUUUGUGCCUAUGAAUCAUGUUGCUUCUCAGAACAGAUGGUAAAUUCAAUAUGCAGAUUUAUUUACUACAGCAAAAAAAUAACACUCAAUAUGCAGAUUAGUUUUCUAUUAAGCAAGCAUGUAUAACUGGAUAUGUGCUUAGGACAGAGGUGAUAUAUUGGUAGGAAAAUUCCUAUCCAGAUUAGUUUCCUAUUAAGCAAGCAUGUAUAACUGGAUAUGUGCUUAGGACAGGGGUGAUAUAUUGGUAGGAAAAUUCCUAUCCAGAAUCUGGUAUAGCGCCACUGUAAACAGAAACUCCGUGUGUGUUUAUUUCUACUUAGUGAUCCUGGAUCCUGCUAAUAUUUAGACCUUGAGAUCCUGCUAAUAUUUGGACCUUGAAUUAUAUCAUUCCUCCACAUACACAGCCUGUUGUAACUGCAGCUCUUAUCUGUUCUCUCUGUUCUUACCUUGAAUUAUGCAGAUUUUUGCAUGGUCAAAUUAGAUAGCCAUUAAAAAAACUAUGGUAUGUUGCUUCUCAGAGCACAUGGUAGAUUCGAUAUGGAGAUUCAUUUUCCAGAAAAAAGAGAGGCAAUAACAGAUUAGUUUUCUGUAACAAAAAAUAGCACAUCAUUUUCUGCUGGCGAUAGGAAUUUGCCCAGUAAUUCUGUGGCAUGCUGCCACCAAAGUUUAGCAUGUGUCUUUCGUGUUGCUACACAGAACAUAUUACCUAUGUGAUUAAUACGAUGAAUAUAUCACGUUUGAUUUGUCGGUUUAAUUAGGUGGUGUUUAUAGUUCAUCCUGUGAUGCCUUGGAUCCUUUGUGCGGUUCACCGUGGGCAUGUGGUUGGGUGCGUGUGUGCCAUCGGUCCUAACGCUCUAUGGCCCACCUGGAAAUCACCUUGGUCCAUGCUGCGCUUGGCCUAUGUAGCUCUCUCCCUGCCUGACAGCCUUGACUUUUGGUGCACCCCCACGUUUACCCAGCAUAGCCUCAUGUUUCUCUAUGCGAUGUCACUAUGUGCGACAGUGCGAGGCAGGCACGUUUCUUCAUGAUUCUCCUACCAACGUCUGGUCCACCGUAAUCCCUGGUCACACGAGUGCUCCUCUCUGCCUGUGUUUUGUGCGCUAGGAGCACGUUCAUCCAGUGCAACGAAAGGAUUGGGCAAAUUACCUACUGGUUAUUACAUUGGAUAAAUGAUGGACAUGCACCUAUUCGUUGUAGAGCCAAUGACAGGUGGGGUCGGUUUUGUGGGUUGUCCCAUAUACCAUGUGUUAUGCGUAUCCAAGAGGCUGUGAGUCUAUCGUGCCAUGUUUUUCUAAGCGCCGCGUGCUACAGUGUCUGACGUGCCUCGUCAGGCCACAUCAAAUCGUCCUACGCACGAGCCGUACCGGCAUGCGCGCAGGCAUUAAUGCAUCUGGCAUGGCCCUAGCCUUUCCUAUCGUUCCUCUUACCUGAUUCGUUAGUAGAGAUUGAGGCCAUUCAAACAGCUGCGUUGCUUCGGUUGUUUUCUUGGCUCUUCUCUCAUCUUUCCCCUUUUCGCUCUUACAUCAAUGGCCAACACUAGGGGGGAUCGUGGAUGCUGCGCCGGCGCUGCUGCUUAGAAUUUGCCUCACACCUCUAGGGUGGUCCCCCAGCCACGCUUCCACGCCGUCUUCCUCUCGAAUUUCGCAGGCGUGGCCCUCACCAAUCUACCCCAUAAUUUCCUGCCUAUUUAUCGAUGUUAGUUCCAAUGGUUGUAUCUGUGAUGUAUAAUGUACUCUAGAUUAUGCAUUGUUCUCCACAAACAAUGUUAACAUUCGGUCUAUGUAUUUUAUGUCUACUUAAUCCAUCAAUGGUUUUCCUCA